rnacentral:rRNA from 1 species
UACGAAGGGUGCAAACGUUGUUCGGAAUUACUGGGCGUAAAGGGCGCGUAGGCGGCCUGUUAAGUCGAACGUGAAAUCCCCAGGCUCAACCUGGGAACUGCGUCCGAUACUGGCAGGCUUGAAUCCGGGAGAGGGAUGCGGAAUUCCAGGUGUAGCGGUGAAAUGCGUAGAUAUCUGGAGGAACACCGGUGGCGAAGGCGGCAUCCUGGACCGGUAUUGACGCUGAGGCGCGAAAGCCAGGGGAGCAAACGGG